AUUGAACGCUGGCGGCAGGCUUAACACAUGCAAGUCGAGCGGGGUGAUGGUGCUUGCACUAUCACUUAGCGGCGGACGGGUGAGUAAUGCUUAGGAAUCUGCCUAUUAGUGGGGGACGACAUCUCGAAAGGGAUGCUAAUACCGCAUACGUCCUACGGGAGAAAGCAGGGGACCACUUGUGACCUUGCGCUAAUAGAUGAGCCUAAGUCGGAUUAGCUAGUUGGUGGGGUAAAGGCCUACCAAGGCGACGAUCUGUAGCGGGUCUGAGAGGAUGAUCCGCCACACUGGGACUGAGACACGGCCCAGACUCCUACGGGAGGCAGCAGUGGGGAAUAUUGGACAAUGGGGGGAACCCUGAUCCAGCCAUGCCGCGUGUGUGAAGAAGGCCUUAUGGUUGUAAAGCACUUUAAGCGAGGAGGAGGCUCUUUUGGUUAAUACCCAAGAUGAGUGGACGUUACUCGCAGAAUAAGCACCGGCUAACUCUGUGCCAGCAGCCGCCGUAA
rnacentral:rRNA from 1 species